AGAAUGUGCUCAGCACGAUCACAGUGAUUAUGGAAUGGUGCCUGGCACAGACGGUGUUCAAACCAAAUCUACUGCCCCUUAGACCAACCCGGACACAGAAAUUAUGACCUUGAAGAGAGGUAUUAAUGUAACAAAAGUCUUAAGAUUUCGAACAUUACCGGGGCACCUGGGAGGCUCAAUCGGUUAAAGC